GCUUAGCCUUAAACUUAGAUGUUAAUAAUACAAGAAGCAUCCGCCCGGGUACUACAAGCGCUAGCUUAAAACCCAAAGGACUUGACGGUGUCUCAGACCCACCUAGAGGAGCCUGUUCUAGAACCGAUAAUCCACGUUUAACCUCACCACCCCUUGUCUUCUCAGCCUAUAUACCGCCGUCGCAAGCUUACCCUAUGAAGGGUUAACAGUAAGCAAAAUGGGUAAAACCCAAAACGUCAGGUCGAGGUGUAGCCUACGGGAUGGAAAGAAAUGGGCUACAUUUUCUAUAUUAGAAUAUACGAACGGCGCCAUGAAACUGGCCCCCGAAGGUGGAUUUAGUAGUAAAAAUCAAAUAGAGAGUCAUUUUGAACCAGGCUCUGAGACGCGC
rnacentral:rRNA from 1 species